CGGACGGGUGAGUAACGCGUGGAUAACCUGCCUCACACUGGGGGAUAACAGUUAGAAAUGGCUGCUAAUACCGCAUAAGCGCACAGUACCGCAUGGUACGGUGUGAAAAACCCAGGUGGUGUGAGAUGGAUCCGCGUCUGAUUAGGUAGUUGGUGGGGUAACGGCCUACCAAGCCGACGAUCAGUAGCCGACCUGAGAGGGUGACCGGCCACAUUGGGACUGAGACACGGCCCAG
rnacentral:rRNA from 1 species